AGAGUUUGAUCCUGGCUCAGGAUAAACGCUGGCGGCGUGCCUAACACAUGCAAGUCGAACGCUCUCACUACGGUGAGAGAGUGGCGGACGGGUGAGUAACACGUGGGUGAUCUAGCUUGAGGUGAGGGAUACCGGCGAGAAAUCGCCGACAAACCCGCAUAGCUUUCUUACGAGAAAGAAAACCUUUCGAGGUGCCUUGA
rnacentral:rRNA from 1 species